AAGCUUGCUUGUUGGGGUUGUAGGACACUCUAUACGGAGUUACAAAGGACGACAUUAGACGAAUCAUCUGGAAAGAUGAAUCAAAGAAGGUAAUAAUCCUGUAGUCGAAAAUGUUGUCUCUCUUGAGUGGAUCCUGAGUACGACGGAGCACGUGAAAUUCCGUCGGAAUCUGGGAGGACCAUCUCCUAAGGCUAAAUACUCUCUAGUGACCGAUAGUGAACCAGUACCGUGAGGGAAAGGUGAAAAGCACCCCGGAAGGGGAGUGAAAUAGAACCUGAAACCGUGUGCUUACAAGUAGUCAGAGCCCGUUAAUGGGUGAUGGCGUGCCUUUUGUAGAAUGAACCGGCGAGUUACGAUUUGAUGCAAGGUUAAGCAGUAAAUGUGGAGCCGUAGCGAAAGCGAGUCUGAAUAGGGCGUUUAGUAUUUGGUCGUAGACCCGAAACCAGGUGAUCUACCCUUGGUCAGGUUGAAGUUCAGGUAACACUGAAUGGAGGACCGAACCGACUUACGUUGAAAAGUGAGCGGAUGAACUGAGGGUAGCGGAGAAAUUCCAAUCGAACCUGGAGAUAGCUGGUUCUCUCCGAAAUAGCUUUAGGGCUAGCCUCAAGUGAUGAUUAUUGGAGGUAGAGCACUGUUUGGACGAGGGGCCCCUCUCGGGUUACCGAAUUCAGACAAACUCCGAAUGCCAAUUAAUUUAACUUGGGAGUCAGAACAUGGGUGAUAAGGUCCGUGUUCGAAAGGGAAACAGCCCAGACCACCAGCUAAGGUCCCAAAAUAUAUGUUAAGUGGAAAAGGAUGUGGCGUUGCCCAGACAACUAGGAUGUUGGCUUAGAAGCAGCCAUCAUUUAAAGAGUGCGUAAUAGCUCACUAGUCGAGUGACACUGCGCCGAAAAUGUACCGGGGCUAAACAUAUUACCGAAGCUGUGGAUUGUCCUUUGGACAAUGGUAGGAGAGCGUUCUAAGGGCGUUGAAGCAUGAUCGUAAGGACAUGUGGAGCGCUUAGAAGUGAGAAUGCCGGUGUGAGUAGCGAAAGACGGGUGAGAAUCCCGUCCACCGAUUGACUAAGGUUUCCAGAGGAAGGCUCGUCCGCUCUGGGUUAGUCGGGUCCUAAGCUGAGGCCGACAGGCGUAGGCGAUGGAUAACAGGUUGAUAUUCCUGUACCACCUAUAAUCGUUUUAAUCGAUGGGGGGACGCAGUAGGAUAGGCGAAGCGUGCGAUUGGAUUGCACGUCUAAGCAGUAAGGCUGAGUAUUAGGCAAAUCCGGUACUCGUUAAGGCUGAGCUGUGAUGGGGAGAAGACAUUGAGUCUUCGAGUCGUUGAUUUCACACUGCCGAGAAAAGCCUCUAGAUAGAAAAUAGGUGCCCGUACCGCAAACCGACACAGGUAGUCAAGAUGAGAAUUCUAAGGUGAGCGAGCGAACUCUCGUUAAGGAACUCGGCAAAAUGACCCCGUAACUUCGGGAGAAGGGGUGCUCUUUAGGGUUAACGCCCAGAAGAGCCGCAGUGAAUAGGCCCAAGCGACUGUUUAUCAAAAACACAGGUCUCUGCUAA
rnacentral:rRNA from 1 species